rnacentral:rRNA from 1 species
GACGAAGGGGGCUAGCGUUGUUCGGAAUUACUGGGCGUAAAGCGCGUGUAGGUGGUUGCCAUAGUCAGGUGUGAAAGCCUUGAGCUCAACUCAAGAAAUGCACUUGAUACUGGGCGACUAGAGGACCGGAGAGGAUAGUGGAAUUCCCAGUGUAGUGGUGAAAUACGUAGAGAUUGGGAAGAACACCAGUGGCGAAGGCGGCUAUCUGGACGGUUUCUGACACUAAGACGCGAAAGCGUGGGGAGCAAACAGG